rnacentral:lncRNA from 10 species
GCUUGGCUUGUUUCAGUUAAGAUAAUGACCUCCAGUUCCAUCCAUGUUGCUGCAAAAUACAUGAUUUUAUUCUUUAUGGCUAAAUAGUGUAAUAUAUAUAUAUAUAUAUAAUUUUCUUUAUCCAUACAUCUAUUGAUGGACAUUUAGAUUUAUUUCAUAUCUUUGCUAUUGUGAAUAGUGCUGUGAUGAUCAUACAAGUACAGAUAUCUUUUUGAUAUAUUGAUUUACUUCCCUUGGAUAGAUAGUAGUGGAAUUGCUGGAUUGAAUGGUAAUUCUAUUUUUAGGUUUUUGAGAAAUCUCCAUACUAUUUUCCAUAGAGAUUGUACUAAUAUACAUUUCUAUCAAAAGUGUAUGAGUUCCCUUUUCUCCAUGUCUUGUCAACUCUUUGUUUUUUGUUUUUUUUUAAUAAUAGCUGGGAUAAGACGACAUCUCAUUGUGGGUUUACUUUGCAUUUCUGAGCAUUUUUUCAUAUAUCUGUUACCCAUAUAUAUGUCUUCUUUUGAAAAAUAUCUAUUCAUAUCCUUUGGCCACUUUUUUUUAUGAAGCAGGGUCUCAUUCUGUCACCCAGGCUUUGAGUGCAUUGGCAUGAUUUCAGCUCACUGGAACCUCUGCUUCCCAGGCUCAAGUGAUCCUCCCACCUCAGCCUCUUCAGUAGCUGAGACCACAGGCAUAUGCCACCACAUCUGGCUAAUUUUUAUUUAUUUAUUUAUUUUGUGAAGAAGGGGUUUUACUGUGUUGCCCAUGCUGGUCUUGAACUCCUGGGCUCAAGCAACCUACCUGCCUUGGCCUCCCAAAGUGCUGGGAUUACAGGCAUGAGCCACUGUGCUCAGCUUUUGCCUGCUUUUUAAUGGGGUUAUUUGUUUUUGUUUUGGUUGAGUUGUUUGAGUUCCUUAUAUAUUUUGGACAUUAGUUUACUGUCAGAUAAAUAUUUGCAAAUAUUUUCUCCCAUUCUACAGUUGUUUUUUUUUUUUUUUGAGAUGGAGUCUCGCUCUGUCGCCCAGACUGGAGUGCAGUGGCGCAAUCUUAGCUCACUGCAACCUCCAUCUCAUGGGUUCAAGUGAUUCUCUGGCCUCAGCCUCCCAAGUAGCCAGGACUAUAGGCCUGUGACAUCAUGCCCAGCUAAUUUUUUUUAUUUUUUUAGUAGAGAAGGGGUUUCACCGUGUUAGCCAGGAUGGUCUCGGUCUCCUGACUUUGUGAUCUGCCCACCUCAGCCUCCCACAGUGUUGGGAUUACAGGCGUGAGCCACCGUGCCUGGCCCCCAUUCUACACUUUUUUUUUCUCCACUCUGUGGAUUGUUUCUUUUUCUGUGCAGAAGCUUUUUAGUUUAACGAAGUCCUAUUUGUCUAUUUUGUUUUUUGUUGCCUGUGUUUUGAUGCAUGACCUAAACAUGUUUGAAGGUUACAAACCAACUUAUGUUGUAGAAUGUCCCUCAAUUUGGCUUUAUCUGAUAUUUCCUUGUGGCUAAAUUCAGCAGGAAUAUCACACAAGUGAGCUGUAUUCCUCUUAUCAGAUACUCUCAGGUGGUGUAUAAUUUCAAUUUGUCCCGUUACUGACAAUGCUCACUUUCCUCACUUGGUUCAGGUGGUAUCUUCUAGGCUUCUUUACUAUAAUUUCCUUUGGUAAUUAGUAAGUGUUUUGUAGGGAGGUAACUAUGAAAAUAUGUAAAUAUUGUAUUGCCCAUUAACUAAUUAAUUAAUAUCAAUGUAUUAGUCAGCUUAGGGUUACCAUAAAAAACCCAUAGAUGUUCCCGAUCUGGUAGAGUAGCAUCUGGUUGGUGGUGACCAUCUAAUACCAGCCAGGGACAAAGCAACCCCUUGUUUAUCCCAGCUUGGCUUUUGGUCUGUUCCCAUGCUUGGUUCAUGCCUUGGACACAUGGAAGAAGGAAAAAAAAAUACCAUAGAGUGGAUGGCUUAAACAACAAAAAUUAAGUUUCUCACAGUUCUGGUAUCUGGAAAGUUCAAGAUCAAAGUCCAGCCUGGUUUGGUUUCUGGUGAGGGCUCUCUUCCUUGCUUGUAGAUGGCAGUCUUCUUGGUGUGUCCUCAGAUGGCAGAGAGAGAGAGGUCUCUUUUUUUAUAAAGCCCCUCCUUUAUGACUUCAUUUAACCUUAAUUACUUCAUAAAGGCCCUAUUCCCAAAUACAUAUCUACAAAGACAUUGGGAGUUAGGCUUUCAACAUAUGACUUGUGG